rnacentral:ncRNA from 1 species
GUUCGGUUGGGGUAAACUUCGCGAAAGUGAAGGACGCUAAAGUCAUGGGUCUAAGGCCUAAUUUUGAAAGCACGUCGAAUAGACUUUUGAAAUUAAGCGAGGAUCGCCAGACUACAAGA